CCUACGGGAGGCAGCAGUGGGGAAUAUUGGACAAUGGGCGAAAGCCUGAUCCAGCCAUGCCGCGUGUGUGAAGAAGGCCUUCGGGUUGUAAAGCACUUUCAGUGGGGAAGAAAGCCUUGGGUCUAAUACCCUCGAGGAAGGACAUCACCCACAGAAGAAGCACCGGCUAACUCCGUGCCAGCAGCCGCGGAAUACGGAGGGUGCGAGCGUUAAUCGGAAUUACUGGGCGUAAAGCGCGCGUAGGCGGUCUGAUAAGCCGGUUGUGAAAGCCCCGGGCUCAACCUGGGAACGGCAUCCGGAACUGUCAGGCUAGAGUGCAGGAGAGGAAGGUAGAAUUCCCGGUGUAGCGGUGAAAUGCGUAGAGAUCGGGAGGAAUACCAGUGGCGAAGGCGGCCUUCUGGACUGACACUGACGCUGAGGUGCGAAAGCGUGGGUAGCAAACAGGAUUAGAUACCCCGGUAGUC
rnacentral:rRNA from 1 species